CUCCCGUGUCCUCUGUCCUGCUGGUCUCUGAGUGUCUGUCCCAGGGAGAGAUGAGGGUGUCCUGCUCCUCUGAGGGAGGGGACAGUCCUCAGUACAGCUGGACUCUGGAUGGACGCACACUGACAGAUGCUGAGCUCCUUCCUGGAAAUAUUAAGACUAACAUCAUCACUCUGAAACAGCACGUCUCAGGACAUCUGGUCUGCUCAGUCGAAAACCUCGUUAGUAAAGUCUCCAAAGAACAGAGGAUAUCUACCUGUGGCUUCAUUUUCAUCAACUGCACUUCAGUCAAUGGGACACAAGUAUCAGGGUGGGUGUAUGAAGCCAAUAACACCCUGUGCAUUGAAUCAACAAGUGAACCUACCACAACCACACAAACUGCAGUGGGAAAUUUGCCACUGAUCAGUGGUGUUCUCUCAACACUUAUAAUUUUCUUAGUUGUGGUUGGAACAGCAAUCUGUGCUCAACGGAAAAAGCAAAACAGCAAAGCAAAAGAGGAAGAAAAUGAUCAGGAAGAAAUCUUUGCUGAUCUCAGGGUCGUGAAACGGCAAGCGAAACAACUGGAGAAAAGAGCGGAG
ensembl:lncRNA